CUGAAAGAAAAAGGACCAUCACACAUGUUUAAAGUUAAAUAUUUUACUAGGCCUUUAUCACCCCUGCCCCAAGCAUGGUGUUUAAUGAAGGAGGGGCUCCCUUCAUAUACAACAAUCGAUUCUUUUGUUGGGUGGUGGGGUAGUUAGGGGUUAAACUUAGGGUGGUCUACCACUGAGCUUUUAAUUUUUAUCCCCAGCCUUUUUCAUUUCAAGACAGGGUCUCACUAAGUUGUCCAGGUUGUUCAAUUUGGCAAUCCUUCUGCCUCAGCCCCCUGAGCAACUGGGAUUACAGGUGUGAGUCGCAGGCCUGACUACAAAUCUACCCAAGUUCCCCAGGCAAAAGUGUAAAGAACAAAGUUUUCUCCAAUUUCCCAUCUACAUUCCACACAUUUGGUGACAAACAAACCUUCCUAAUUCUCAGAUCCUUCAAAAAAUUAGUUUCCUCAUAUCAUAUCUUUAUCUGCCAUAAACACUUGAGCAGAGAAACAUUCAGUCAAUCCAGUGUCCAAAAAUGAUUUACCAUCAUUCAAAACUAAAUGGUUAGAAACCAUUUAGCACUUGCUGAAUGCACACAGUAUGCAAGAUACACUACCCAGAGAACUUGAGGAGUCCCCUUCUCAAUACUUGGUCAUUUAAAGAUGAUGAGAAACAGAAGUGGGUAGCUCAGCAGUAGAAUGUUUGCCUAUCAUGUGUGAGGCCCUGGAUUCUAUCCCCAGAAUAAUAGUAAUAAUGAUGACGAGGACAAAAGUAAAGAUAACAGUGGUAUAAAGUAAACUGUCCAGUUACAAAUCUUAAAGCAGCACUGUAAUCUCACAUGUGUUUCUGUGUGGUCCCAGAUUCUGUAGUCCCAGCAGUGACCUCACACAAAAUGGCUUAUGAUGACCAGCAGAAUGAUGAGGGGGGUCAUCUUCCACUUCUAGAACUUUGGGUACCAAAAUUAUUAGUAUCCACUAAGCUCUCAAUUGCAGAUCCACUCUUGGGCUUUGUGAUGCUGAGAAGUUGGACAGCCAUAAAUAUAAGGAUGGAAAUUCAACUGAAGCCAGGACUGGUAGAGCCCAUGGAAAGAUGUCAACUACUUGGCUUCUAUGUAAGAAAAGACUACACACACAGAUCUUCAUGCAAACUGUACAAUAUAAUCCUAACAGUGUAAAUCCCUAUCUCCAGGAGAAAACUAGAAAUUAUCUAAUGUAUCCCCACAUUUUAAAGAGGGGGCCCAAGGAGAUCACAUCAGCACAGAGUGGGUCAUUUCAAGGAAAACAAACUUCCAGCCUCACCCAUCUAUCAUGAAAUAAUGAUUAAGACAAAUAUCUCCACUGACAAUAAAAGAUCCAAUACAUACAACCAUGUUUCAAGAAUUUCCCUGUGGGCUAGAAUGUAGCUUAGCGCUAGAGCACUUGCCUGGCAUGUGCCAAGCCCUGGGUUCAAUCACCAGUAGCAGCUAAAAAGAGAAAAGAACAUCACUUGACUGGGAAGUCAUUUUGAAGGCUCCACAUUGUUGUUAUUGCUGUUACCUUGAUAAAAUAACCACCUUAAAACUACAGUUAGAUAUUCAUCUUUUAAUUAAAAGUUUUUUUGACCUAGUUGUUGCACAUAUUUUCCCUUAAAAUAUCAGUAACUAUGUCACACACAUUUAACAAAAUGUUAAACACUUAAACAAAAUGUUACAUAUCUGCCUAAGCAAGCAUAUAGCUCUGGGUUUCAACACCAGGACCACAAGAAGAAAGAAACAAAGAAGCUAAAUAGUGUUACAUUUUAAAAGUGACAGGUUAAACUAUGUCUAUCACAACAAUCGGGGACAUGAUACGCUAUAUGCUAUAAUUAAUAUGAUUAAGGGCUGAGGAUGUGGCUCAAGCGGUAGCGCGCUUGCCUCGAAUGCGUGCGACCCGGGUUCGAUCCUCAGCACCAUGUACAAAGAUGUUGUGUCUGCCAAUAACUAAAAAAUAAAUAUUAAAAAAAUUCUCUCUCCCCCCCACACUCUUAAAAAAACUUUUUAAAAAUUAAUAUGAUUAAAUGCAAAAGCACACUACCUAUGACUUCAAUAUAUCCCCAAGCCCAUAGAGAAUACAAUUCCUUCGAAGAAACUCUUGCUCUCCUCCAGAAUACUGGUGUAAUUGGCCAAAGUGUUUAAUAAAAUCCCAGAAAUGGGGAUGGAGCAGGCACAAACAACCAAAGGUAUAAAUAAAUGACUUCUCUGCACCGUCUUACCCUAAAGAGUAUCCACAGCACAUCUACCUGCCCUCAGGCUUUUUCUAUAAUAGACACCAAGAAUUUAAAAUGGCCCUUUCCUCCAGGCCAAAUGUUCUACCCCUUUUGAAAGCUUUACAAUUAGAAAAAGGAUCAUAUACUAAAUCUGUCAUUAACAAUCUGUACAGGGCAUUAAACUUUUAGUGGGCUGGGCUUUAGACUUUAACACCUUGUAAAAGUGUUGAAAUAGUGUUUUGGAAAUGCAUACACUUCAAGAAGUUGUUAAAUAGCCAAGCACUUUAAUUGCCUAAAGAGAGACUUGUAGAAACAAGCACAAAAUGUAAGCUUUCAGAACAGACUGUCCAUCGGGGGGCAGCACACCAGGACUCCAACACACCCCUAACCACCAGCCAUCUGUCCACCUACAUCAUUUUUAUUUUUACACAAGCUUUACUAGAACUGGAGAGGGGCCUAAGUCAAAAUGUUAACAUUUUUUUCCCCUAAGAAGCCCUGUAUUAUACAUAUACACUUAAAUUUAGUUUACUGAUAACUACAAUGUGAACACAUCUUAAAUUUAAAAGUACAUUAUAUAAGAAUUUGAGAAACAAAAUCCCUUAUUCACAGAUUUUAUCUGUGGACAUUACUUGUUAUUUAGCCCUAUAUUUAGAAUUUUAGAUAUUUGGGGUCUUGGAAAGGUUUAAAUAUAUAAAGUAGAAAACCAAAAAAUUAAUUGCAGGGGCUAGGGAUAUAGUUCAGAGGUAAAACACUUUGCCUAAUGUGCACAAGGCAUACCCUAAAUUUAAUAUCCAGACUGCCCCCCCGACAUACACACGCACAAUUGCACAAUCGGAAAAAAAAACAGAAAAAUUACUUCUUGGUAUGUCUUUUUAAGA